rnacentral:rRNA from 1 species
UACAGAGGUCUCAAGCGUUGUCCGGAUUUAUUGGGCGUAAAGAGCUCGUAGGCGGCUCGUUGCGUCGGCUGUGAAAACCCGCAGCUCAACUGUGGGCUUGCAGCCGAUACGGGCGGGCUGGAGUUCGGUAGGGGAGACUGGAAUUCCUGGUGUAGCGGUGAAAUGCGCAGAUAUCAGGAGGAACACCGGUGGCGAAGGCGGGUCUCUGGGCCGAUACUGACGCUGAGGAGCGAAAGCCAGGGGAGCAAACGGG